rnacentral:snRNA from 1 species
AUACCUAAAAGUUGCAAAGGGGAGAUACUUUGAUCAUGAAGGAGAGUUUCCCAGAACCAGCUUCUUCCAUUGCACUCUGGUUGUGCCCAUCCAUGUGAUCUCCCUGAAUACAGGAAACUCCACUGCAUAAUUUGUGAUAAUAAUUCUGCAUAAAUUC